GGGUUGUGAGGUUAAGCGACUAAGCGUACACGGUGGAUGCCCUGGCAGUCAGAGGCGAUGAAGGACGUGCUAAUCUGCGAUAAGCGUCGGUAAGGUGAUAUGAACCGUUAUAACCGGCGAUUUCCGAAUGGGGAAACCCAGUGUGAUUCGUCACACUAUCAUUAACUGAAUCCAUAGGUUAAUGAGGCGAACCGGGGGAACUGAAACAUCUAAGUACCCCGAGGAAAAGAAAUCAACCGAGAUUCCCCCAGUAGCGGCGAGCGAACGGGGAGCAGCCCAGAGCCUGAAUCAGUGUGUGUGUUAGUGGAAGCGUCUGGAAAGGCGCGCGAUACAGGGUGACAGCCCCGUACACAAAAAUGCACAUGCUGUGAGCUCGAUGAGUAGGGCGGGACACGUGGUAUCCUGUCUGAAUAUGGGGGGACCAUCCUCCAAGGCUAAAUACUCCUGACUGACCGAUAGUGAACCAGUACCGUGAGGGAAAGGCGAAAAGAACCCCGGCGAGGGGAGUGAAAAAGAACCUGAAACCGUGUACGUACAAGCAGUGGGAGCACGCUUAGGCGUGUGACUGCGUACCUUUUGUAUAAUGGGUCAGCGACUUAUAUUCUGUAGCAAGGUUAACCGAAUAGGGGAGCCGAAGGGAAACCGAGUCUUAACUGGGCGUUAAGUUGCAGGGUAUAGACCCGAAACCCGGUGAUCUAGCCAUGGGCAGGUUGAAGGUUGGGUAACACUAACUGGAGGACCGAACCGACUAAUGUUGAAAAAUUAGCGGAUGACUUGUGGCUGGGGGUGAAAGGCCAAUCAAACCGGGAGAUAGCUGGUUCUCCCCGAAAGCUAUUUAGGUAGCGCCUCGUGAAUUCAUCUCCGGGGGUAGAGCACUGUUUCGGCAAGGGGGUCAUCCCGACUUACCAACCCGAUGCAAACUGCGAAUACCGGAGAAUGUUAUCACGGGAGACACACGGCGGGUGCUAACGUCCGUCGUGAAGAGGGAAACAACCCAGACCGCCAGCUAAGGUCCCAAAGUCAUGGUUAAGUGGGAAACGAUGUGGGAAGGCCCAGACAGCCAGGAUGUUGGCUUAGAAGCAGCCAUCAUUUAAAGAAAGCGUAAUAGCUCACUGGUCGAGUCGGCCUGCGCGGAAGAUGUAACGGGGCUAAACCAUGCACCGAAGCUGCGGCAGCGACACUAUGUGUUGUUGGGUAGGGGAGCGUUCUGUAAGCCUGUGAAGGUGUACUGUGAGGUAUGCUGGAGGUAUCAGAAGUGCGAAUGCUGACAUAAGUAACGAUAAAGCGGGUGAAAAGCCCGCUCGCCGGAAGACCAAGGGUUCCUGUCCAACGUUAAUCGGGGCAGGGUGAGUCGACCCCUAAGGCGAGGCCGAAAGGCGUAGUCGAUGGGAAACAGGUUAAUAUUCCUGUACUUGGUGUUACUGCGAAGGGGGGACGGAGAAGGCUAUGUUGGCCGGGCGACGGUUGUCCCGGUUUAAGCGUGUAGGCUGGUUUUCCAGGCAAAUCCGGAAAAUCAAGGCUGAGGCGUGAUGACGAGGCACUACGGUGCUGAAGCAACAAAUGCCCUGCUUCCAGGAAAAGCCUCUAAGCAUCAGGUAACAUCAAAUCGUACCCCAAACCGACACAGGUGGUCAGGUAGAGAAUACCAAGGCGCUUGAGAGAACUCGGGUGAAGGAACUAGGCAAAAUGGUGCCGUAACUUCGGGAGAAGGCACGCUGAUAUGUAGGUGAAGUCCCUCGCGGAUGGAGCUGAAAUCAGUCGAAGAUACCAGCUGGCUGCAACUGUUUAUUAAAAACACAGCACUGUGCAAACACGAAAGUGGACGUAUACGGUGUGACGCCUGCCCGGUGCCGGAAGGUUAAUUGAUGGGGUUAGCGCAAGCGAAGCUCUUGAUCGAAGCCCCGGUAAACGGCGGCCGUAACUAUAACGGUCCUAAGGUAGCGAAAUUCCUUGUCGGGUAAGUUCCGACCUGCACGAAUGGCGUAAUGAUGGCCAGGCUGUCUCCACCCGAGACUCAGUGAAAUUGAACUCGCUGUGAAGAUGCAGUGUACCCGCGGCAAGACGGAAAGACCCCGUGAACCUUUACUAUAGCUUGACACUGAACAUUGAGCCUUGAUGUGUAGGAUAGGUGGGAGGCUUUGAAGUGUGGACGCCAGUCUGCAUGGAGCCGGCCUUGAAAUACCACCCUUUAAUGUUUGAUGUUCUAACGUUGACCCGUGAUCCGGGUUGCGGACAGUGUCUGGUGGGUAGUUUGACUGGGGCGGUCUCCUCCUAAAGAGUAACGGAGGAGCACGAAGGUUGGCUAAUCCUGGUCGGACAUCAGGAGGUUAGUGCAAUGGCAUAAGCCAGCUUGACUGCGAGCGUGACGGCGCGAGCAGGUGCGAAAGCAGGUCAUAGUGAUCCGGUGGUUCUGAAUGGAAGGGCCAUCGCUCAACGGAUAAAAGGUACUCCGGGGAUAACAGGCUGAUACCGCCCAAGAGUUCAUAUCGACGGCGGUGUUUGGCACCUCGAUGUCGGCUCAUCACAUCCUGGGGCUGAAGUAGGUCCCAAGGGUAUGGCUGUUCGCCAUUUAAAGUGGUACGCGAGCUGGGUUUAGAACGUCGUGAGACAGUUCGGUCCCUAUCUGCCGUGGGCGCUGGAGAACUGAGGGGGGCUGCUCCUAGUACGAGAGGACCGGAGUGGACGCAUCACUGGUGUUCGGGUUGUCAUGCCAAUGGCACUGCCCGGUAGCUAAAUGCGGAAGAGAUAAGUGCUGAAAGCAUCUAAGCACGAAACUUGCCCCGAGAUGAGUUCUCCCUGACUCCUUGAGAGUCCUGAAGGAACGUUGAAGACGACGACGUUGAUAGGCCGGGUGUGUAAGCGCAGCGAUGCGUUGAGCUAACCGGUACUAAUGAACCGUGAGGCUUAACCUUACAACGCCGAAGCUGUU
rnacentral:rRNA from 1 species